rnacentral:rRNA from 1 species
ACGGGAGGCAGCAGUGGGGAAUUUUGCGCAAUGGGCGAAAGCCUGACGCAGCAACGCCGCGUGAGUGAUGAAGGCUUUCGGGUCGUAAAGCUCUGUCGAGGGGAAAGAAGUGUAUUGUGGCUAAUAUCCACGAUACUUGACGGUACCCCUAAAGGAAGCACCGGCUAACUCCGUGCCAGCAGCCGCGGUAAUACGGGGGGUGCAAGCGUUGUUCGGAAUUAUUGGGCGUAAAGAGCGUGUAGGCGGUUUGUUAAGUCUGUUGUGAAAGCCCUGGGCUCAACCCAGGAAGUGCACUGGAUACUGGCAGACUUGAAUACGGGAGAGGGUAGUGGAAUUCCUAGUGUAGGAGUGAAAUCCGUAGAUAUUAGGAGGAACACCGGUGGCGAAGGCGGCUACCUGGACCGAUAUUGACGCUGAGACGCGAAAGCGUGGGUAGCAAACAGGAUUAGAUACCCUGGUAGUCCACGCCGUAAACGAUGAGAACUAGGUGUUGCGGGUAUUGACCCCUGCAGUGCCGCAGCUAACGCAUUAAGUUCUCCGCCUGGGAAGUACGGUCGCAAGACUAAAACUCAAAGGAAUUGACGG